GGCCAAGUUUUUUAGGGCACACGGUGGAUGCCUUGGCACCAGGAGCCGAUGAAGGACGUGGGAGGCUGCGUUAAGCCUCGGGGAGUCGCCAACCAGACGUUGAUCCGGGGAUGUCCGAAUGGGGAAACCUAGCACCAGUCAUGUGGUGUUGCCGCCGUCUGAAUGUAUAGGGCGGUUGGUGGUAACGCGGGGAAGUGAAACAUCUCAGUACCCGUAGGAAGAGAAAACAAUAGUGAUUCCGUGAGUAGUGGUGAGCGAAAGCGGAUGAGGCUAAACCGUAUGCGUGUGAUAGCCGGCGGGCGUUGCGUAUGCGGGGUCGUGGGACCUUCUUGGGGAGACCGCCGUCUUCCCGGGCAGUGAUAAAUCGGUGGGGUAGCCGAAGCCUCUGGGAAGGGGUGCCGGAGACCGUGAUAGCCGGGUAGGUGAAACUCUGCCGACUGCCGGAGGGGAUCCCAAGUAGCACGGGGCUCGAGGAAUCCUGUGUGAAUCUGCCAGGACCACCUGGUAAGCCUGAAUACUCCCUGGUGACCGAUAGUGGACGAGUACCGUGAGGGAAAGGUGAAAAGCGCCCCGGUGAGGGGUUGUGAAAUAGUACCUGAAACCGUGUGCCUACAAGCCGUAGGAGCGUACGCAGCUUCGGCUGUGUGUGAUGUGACUGCGUGCCUUUUGAAGAAUGAGCCUGCGAGUUAUGGUGUGUGGCGAGGUUAACCCGUGUGGGGGAGCCGUAGCGAAAGCGAGUCUGAAUAGGGCGUUUGAGUCGCAUGCUGUAGACCCGAAGCGGGGUGAUCUACGCAUGGGCAGGGUGAAGCUCAGGUAAGACUGGGUGGAGGCCCGAACCCACCAGGGUUGAAAACCUGGGGGAUGAUCUGUGUGUAGGGGUGAAAGGCCAAUCAAACUCCGUGAUAGCUGGUUCUCCCCGAAAUGCAUUUAGGUGCAGCGUCGCGUGUUUCUUGCUGGAGGUAGAGCACUGGAUGGCCGAUGGGCCCGACAAGGUUACUGACGUCAGCCAAACUCCGAAUGCCGGUAAGUGAGAGCGUGGCAGUGAGACUGCGGGGGAUAAGCUUCGUAGUCGAGAGGGAAACAGCCCAGACCACCGACUAAGGCCCCUAAGCGUGUGCUAAGUGGGAAAGGAUGUGGAGUCGCAGUGACAACCAGGAGGUUGGCUUAGAAGCAGCCAUCCUUGAAAGAGUGCGUAAUAGCUCACUGGUCAAGUGAUUCUGCGCCGACAAUGUAGCGGGGCUCAAGUGCACCGCCGAAGUCGUGGCAUUCACGC
rnacentral:rRNA from 1 species